AAGCUGAGAAGUAAUAUGGUAAGUCAAGGUACUGUAUUAUGGAGCUACUACAGGGGUUGGCGUAUGUCCACGACUUGAAUAGGCGUUAGCUGAAAAGAAAUACGCUUUU
rnacentral:ncRNA from 1 species